GCCUGUUCAGCUGGGAUCUGAUUAGUGAGAUCUAUUUGGUGGGGUCCAUCAGUUGGGGCCUAGUCAGUGAGGGCCGUGAGGGCCUUGUCAGCUGCAGCCUUGUCAUUGUGACCUUUGUCAGUGGUGUCUGGUGAUCCAGGGCCUGGUCUGUGGGGCCCAGUCAGCAGGACCUGGUCAGUCCACAUCUGAUCAGUGGGACCUGGUCAUUGUGGGGGUGGUCAGCUAGGACCUGUUCAGUGGGAGCUUAACCGUUGAAGGCCUGGUCAGUGGGCCCUGGUCAGUGGGAUCCUGGGUGAUCUCAGGCCACAGGUUUGUCCUUGAAGCCUCCUUGAUUGCCUCCGUCCGUGGGGUGGGGGGUGAGUCACAGCACCCCAGUGGGCUUCUGGGAGGAGGAGGUGAGAAGGUGCCUUGAAUCCAGCCCUGCCACAGAGACCUGGCACUUUAUACACUACCCAAGUCACCCCAACGGGGGAGCCUGGCCUCUGCCCUCUGCCCUCUGCCGUCUGCCCUAUGCCCCUGCCCCAUCUGCAUCCCCAGGACCACCCAGCAUGGAAAGGGCAGAGGCUGGGGAGCACCUAUGGGUGCUCUGAUGCUGGCCACAGGCCCGGGGGUGACAGUGACAGGGAUCCAGGUGCACACGUGAGUGGAGCAGCCAGGCCCAGCUGGAGGAGAGAUGUGUUCACCCACACACAUGCAUCCUCACAUACACAGACAAACUGCACGCAUACAUGUUGACCAUUCAGGGGGCGGAGGAUGCUGACCCUGGGCCCUGCUGAGCCAGGUAGGGCCCCGUCGUGAUAGGAGCUGUGAACCCAUGCUGUCGCUGUGCCAAGUGCCGCCAGCCUGCCUCCGUGUCAUGAAGCAGUUGGAGACACAGUGGUGCUGUAAGUGGUUGUGCAGAUAGGACCCUUUUCUGGGUGAGAAGCACAUCUCAGCACCGCUGCCUGAUCAGGCUCAAGAAAGCGUGACCUGCUCUCUUCCCCCCUGCUGACUUGGGGACAGUCACAACCAGCUCAGAAUUGUGGAAUCCACCAUCCGUCCACCUGAGACAUCUCCACGAGCGCAGACGCUGCUUUGGCCCAAACAAAGCACCCUCCCGUUUGGCUGAGCCGUGGUAGCAUGGGGCUUACCCGGCCAGCAGCAUCUCAGAGCCCCCAGGAGUGGUUCAGGUGUUCUCUGAAGUGGUCAGGAGCAGCGUAGCCUUUGGGCGAUGUUGUCUCACAGGACGGACGUGGAGGAAUUCGCAGCUACUCUACUUGCACAGGAGCAGGGGGCAUCAUUGCCCAGUGUGAGCAGUGAGACGCAGCUGCCACCCAUCAGUGCCCUGGAAGUAAAGAGAAGACGUCAGGGGAUGAGAGACACAGAAAAAUGGCUCCGGGUGCUUCUCGACUGGCGGUGAUAUAGGAGCUCAAGGAGCUGUCUGCUGGGCUCUACAAGGGAAUCCCUCUGCAGAUGUGGGGCCAGGUGUGGUCACACUUGCUGAAUGCUGAGAAAGUGAAGGCUGAGAACUUGGGAAAAUACCAGGUACCACACUUCUACACUCAGCCAGAGCCGGACAAACAGGCCAGGCCGUGUUGGGAGCCCAGGCCUCUAGAUGGAAGAUCAGAUGCACAUCUUGGGCACAGAAGCGUGGACUGUGGAUGACGGCCAUGUGGGGCAACGAGUCUUCUGUUUGGAGGCUGCUUCGUCCUCUUGGCCUACAGGUCAUGAAGAAGAAGGGCAAGAGGUCCCCUGGGAACUUCCACCAGAUAUGGGGAUUGGAAGGUCCCUGGGAAGAUGGGGUGAUCCAGAGGGAUGGGGGCUUCCCCAGAGCAGAGGCAGGGGUCACCCUGGAGGAGUGACAGAGUGGCCAAGGGCUCUCCUGGCCCAGGGGGCAUGCAGCCCCAUGGACUCAGUGCCUCUUGGGCUCCAAGCCCUGCGCCUGGCUGGGACACGUGGGGCCAGAAUCCAGACAGCUCCCAAGGAGAUGAACAGCAGCAAACAAAAUCAUGCGGUAUGGUGGAAAGUACUCCCUGUGACUCUGGGGACCAGGGUAGGGACCCACAAGAGGGCGGCAGGAUGAGGGGGCUCAGGAGCCUUCCCAAGCAACACUGGCAACACCAAAUGCCGGGAGGAUGUGGGGCCCUGGGGACCCUCACCCCUGCCGGGUGGGACAGGGCACAGCCACUUUGGAAGCCUGUUGGGCAGCUGCCCAUGAGGCUCCGUGGACUCACGCCACACAUCCCAGAAGAGUCUCAGAGACUGACCCCAGUGAUUUGAAAACUGACGUCCACGUAAAACCUGCGUGCCACGUUCACAGCUUGAUUCAUCCUCGCUCACAGCCGGAGGCCACCAAGAGAACCUGCGACAUGGGAAUAGGGGAGGAAGGGGGCAUCCACCCUUCGAACAAAAGACCACUCGGUGAGAAAAGGGAGCGAACCCCUGACCCCCGUAGGAAUGUGAGUGAAUCUUAGAUGCAUUUCACUGAGGGAAAGAAGCCAUGCCUAACAGUCGACCACUGUAGGAUUCCAACUCGUGGGCCAUUCUGGAAAAGGCCAAACCAAAGGGAUGGAUAACAGAUCAGGAUGGCCAGGGGCUGAUGGAGUGGGAGAGAUCAGCUGCAGAGGGGACACCUUGGGGACUUGGAGGACGAAGGAGCUGCUCUGGGAGGUGCUAGAGUCGUGGGUGGGAGACUCCGCGCACUGGUUCAGAAACGUGGAACUGCGUAUCCCAAAGACUGAGCUUUCACCUUGUGCCAAAAAGGGGAGAAAAAUAAUCAACCAGAGUGAUUGCACACCUGAGAUAUUUGCAUUUCACUGAAAGUGGAUUUUACCCAGAAAUUUCCCAAAAUAAUCAGAUGCCCUGAAAAGGUCACUGCUUAAUCGACGGAUCAUCUCAACCUUGAGUUGGAUUUGUCAUAGGGGCUUGUAGACAAAAUGAAACAGCAUCUGCCUGAAGCAAAACGAUCUUUUCUCUCUUUCCUAAGCAGCGGGAUUUCUUUCAGGUCCUGGUGGCAUAUUCUGCAUCUAACCCCAGCAAGUAAUGACGCCUUCCUCCCAGACUUGCCCCAAAGCCUCCCGGAGCUUGGUGGUGUCCCAGGACGGUCCUCCCAGGAAACAUUUUGAACAAGUUGCUGAAGUGCCUGAUGGACGUGGCUCUUGUCACGAAAUGAGUUUGGAUCCGAGAAGCCCUCCUCUUCAUCAGAAAUGGGCAGGGGUCCAAUUUCCCCUCCACCUGAACCCUGUCAGAGCCUUUCCAGCUGACGGCUCCACAUGUUGGGAGGGGAUCUCAUUUCGAGAUGGGUCAGGGGCUUCUCAGGAUUCUUUAGCCCAAAUUGUGCCAGCCCACGAGGAGCACCUGUUAUGAACGUCAUUCCCAAAGAUCCUGCGGCACUUGGUGAAUGGACAGUCCCCUCGGCUCCUUCCCAGAGGCCUGGGUCCCAUGGGCCAGGGGUAAAGGGGCGGCUCGAGCCCCUGGUGGGGCUGGCCAGAGGCUGAGUCCCAGCCAGGGCCAUGUAGUUCUCCAUAGCUUCAGAGCUGAGUUUCCUUUUCCUGCCCUGGAGCAGGCAGAGGCACUCAACCCAGGCCGAGCUUGGGCUGAGCAGGGCAAAGGGAAGUGUGUCCCGGGGGUCCAUGCAGGGGGCAGGUGUCAGGGGUGCCCCAGCCACCACCUGGUGUUCUGUCCCUCAGGGAAGGGUCUGCAGAGGGGCCUGGAAUG